CCUUUAAUGGCAAACAAAGAUUAACUUAUACACUUCUUCAAAUUUUAACUUUUAUAUAUUACAUGUAUUAGAGUUAAAAAAAAAUGAAAUAACUUCUCUUCCUCAUUUUUCCCUGCCUUUUUCUUGAGAUCUUUAUCCUAACAUUAAGUGCCAAAAAACUUUGUCAAACUUUUUGUUCCAUUUUAUGAAAUUCUAGACAUUAUCACAUGCAAAUUUCUGCCUACCUCUGUGCCUUACAAUAUAGAUUUGCCAGUGUGGUAUAAUAGUAUCUUUAAAUUCUCACCAACAAAACCAGACUUUCAACAAUAUAAC
rnacentral:lncRNA from 1 species